AUUGAACGCUGGCGGAAUGCUUUACACAUGCAAGUCGAACGGCAGCACGGACUUCGGUCUGGUGGCGAGUGGCGAACGGGUGAGUAAUACAUCGGAACGUGCCCAAUCGUGGGGGAUAACGUAGCGAAAGCUACGCUAAUACCGCAUACGAUCUAAGGAUGAAAGCGGGGGAUCGCAAGACCUCGCGCGAUUGGAGCGGCCGAUGGCAGAUUAGGUAGUUGGUGGGGUAAAGGCCUACCAAGCCGACGAUCUGUAGCUGGUCUGAGAGGAUGAUCAGCCACACUGGGACUGAGACACGGCCCAAACUCCUACGGGAGGCAGCAGUGGGGAAUUUUGGACAAUGGACGCAAGUCUGAUCCAGCCAUUCCGCGUGCAGGAUGAAGGCCCUCGGGUUGUAAACUGCUUUUGUACAGAACGAAAAGGCUCUGGUUAAUACCUAGGGCUCAUGACGGUACUGUAAGAAUAAGCACCGGCUAACUACGUGCCAGCAGCCGCAGUAA
rnacentral:rRNA from 1 species